GUAUAAUGAGAAGCAGGAUGCU
rnacentral:siRNA from 1 species